rnacentral:rRNA from 1 species
UACGGGGGGGGGCAAGCGUUGUUCGGAAUUACUGGGCGUAAAGGGCUCGUAGGCGGCCAACUAAGUCAGACGUGAAAUCCCUCGGCUUAACCGGGGAACUGCGUCUGAUACUGGAUGGCUUGAGGUUGGGAGAGGGAUGCGGAAUUCCAGGUGUAGCGGUGAAAUGCGUAGAUAUCGGGAAGAACACCCGUGGCGAAGGCGGCUCUCUGGGACGGUACUGGACGCUGAGACGCGAAAGCGUGGGGAGCGAACAGG